UUGCGAGGGAGGCGUUUGAACAAGGAGUUCAUCACACGUAUUACAGCAGAACCCGCGAGGGAGGCGCUUGAACAACGAACUCAAUCUCAGCCACACACGUUGCUCAAGGCCAAAAAAGAAUCCAUCCAGAGACUUCCCAUCGGAAUACCAACGCAGAACAGCGCUCGACGAGUACGGCACCCAAUCUCCCAGCCCCGGCGGCGCCCGACCUCCAAACCCAGCAGCGCCCUGGCUUGGAUCCCGACGGCGGCGUCCUCCCUCGCGUCCCGGCGGCGGCGGCCUCCCACACGUCCCGACGGCGGCGUCCUCCCUCGCGUCCCGACGGCGGCGUCCUCCCACACGUCCCAACGGCGGCGGCCUCCCCCGACCCCAAACAGCAGCGCCCUGCCUCCGACAUCAACGAUGCUCUCCAUUGUCAACCUGGUGGCAGUAGCUAUUUGCCUUUCACAAAAGCAAAAACAAGAGAGUGGGGACCAAGAGAAUAAGAUGGAGGGGACCAAGAGAAGAGAAGGAGGAUAG
rnacentral:misc_RNA from 1 species